GAUGAAGAACGUAGCGAAAUGCGAUAAGUAAUGUGAAUUGCAGAAUUCAGUGAAUCAUCGAAUCUUUGAACGCACAUUGCGCCCUCUGGUAUUCCGGGGGGCAUGCCUGUUCGAGCGUCAUUUCACCACUCAAGCCUCGCUUGGUAUUGGGCAACGCGGUCCGCCGCGUGCCUCAAAUCGACCGGCUGGGUCUUCUGUCCCCUAAGCGUUGUGGAAACUAUUCGCUAAAGGGUGUUCGGGAGGCUACGCCGUAAAACAACCCCAUUUCUAAGGUUGACCUCGGAUCAGGUAGGGAUACCCGCUGAACUUAAGCAUAUCAAUAAGCGGAGGA
rnacentral:misc_RNA from 1 species